rnacentral:lncRNA from 1 species
ACCGAAUAAAAACCCCCGAGUCUUGUUAUAAAAGGGUAGUGUGCUUAUUUGUGUGUGGAGUAAGGCAGGGCUUGGGAAGCUCCUUUCUCCUGCAGAGACUUGAAAGCAAAGAGGCUAUAAUCAGGACUUGCUGCUCGCUCCAUGCUUUCAGCCCUAGGAAAGCGCUGAACCUGCACGCCCCAGUGCUAAGAUAGGACCUAGCAGGAAAUGUGUAGGAGUGACUUAAUGGGGCAAACACAAGUGUGGAGAAAGGGGGGUUGUUAGUGGCUUGGUUGUGCAGCAGCUCGUAGUCUGCACCAUUGAUGUGUGCCAUUGGUGCAGUUCUAGAUCUAGAACUUCCAUUGCCGAUGUAAAGGGGUGUUUGCUGUAAAUGGGGAUUCCUAGACUGGAGGAGACCUGUGGUCUAUCUAGUCUGUUCUGUCUCCUGUACUUGAUUCAUUACAGGAGAUGUUAAUAACCUGUAGCUGCUAACCCAAUACGGCACCAAUGGGGUCUUUUUACUGGGUGCUGGGAAAAUCUCGAUUUGGAAACAUUGCCCAUUUUGGACACUGGUUCUGAUCUGUACAUUGAUUUACAUUUUGUACAGAGAGCUUUGGCUAAUAGGGUUUACUUAAGAGAGACCGGCUGACUUGUUUUCCUUUCAGACGUCCGUUUGUGGAACAGCGUAGACACUGCAACAUGAGAACUGAUAGCCAGGCUAUCUUUUUUUCCUCUACCCCCAUCACUGUGUUAUCUGGACACUGUAACUUCUAUUGUAGCAGAGACUUUAGGUGCACAAGAACCAAAUCCUGUCGUGUGGAAGGAAAAAGGAUUCUGACUUUAGAGCAUGUGCAAAAGAAGUGGCUUUGUCUCAUGUAACCCCCAGCCAGUGUCCUCUGUGCCCAGCCCACCACUGUCUAUGUGAGAGAAUAAGAGGUGCAGCUGGUUUUGGUGUGUCUAAACUCUAGUACUACAGCAUGUUCGGCCGUGUUUCCCUUAGCUGCAGCUGUCUGAGACGUGGCAGGCAAUGGAGGAUCAAAUUUACCGGUGAGGUAACUGGGUACCUUUCCUGUGAAGUUAGUGAGACUUGUGCCUGCCUACGGCAGACCUGAACUUGGCCUGGAGGUUUGCCAUACAGUUUACACAAGCACUCUUCACCAUAUCGCAUGAAUCAACUUUCUUCCCUCCCCCCCACCACCACCAAAGAAAUGCCAGAGGUGGGCUUAAGAUAAUAAAAGGCAUCCUGGAAAAAUGUCA